CUGGAGGGGAUGUCUGGAGGAGCUGGGAAGCAACCAGAUGACUGACAGCGAUUCAGGCGAGACUCGGCAUGGAGGGGACAGGCGAACAGAUCUGCUUCUUCCUUUGUGUUGCCAGUCAGGUCCUCCCUCUGCAGUCUUACACAGGAAGAAGAUUUAUAACAGCUGCAUGCAAUGCCAGUGUCUCAAAGAGACAGUAUCACGCCAUGUGGAGGAUUUUCAUAUGGGGUUUAACUUUGCUCCACUGAAUUGGAAAGUGCUCAGGUACUCUCAGGGAAGGAGCAUCUUCUCUCCUCAAGACUCUACCUGAUCCAAGGUGCAACACCCGAAGUCAUGCUUAGUGUGCAGAGCCAAACAAGG